GCGUAAUUGGUGUAGUGGUAACAUUAAUCGUUGCCAUCCAGCAAUGAUUUCGAUUAGCCCUGGGUUCGAUUCCCAGAUUACGCA
rnacentral:tRNA from 1 species